ensembl:lncRNA
GUCUGGUAGACCCCACCUGGGUACCUGUAGGGGAACAGAGCUGUCUCAGAACGUCGAUGUCUGGUAGACCCCACCCUGGGUUCCUGUAGGGGAACAGAGCUGUCUCAGAACGUCGAUGUCUGGUAGACCCCACCCGGGUUCCUGUAGGGAACAGAGCUGUCUCAGAACGUCGAUGUCUGGUAGAACCCACCCUGGGUACCUGUAGGGGAACAGAGCUGUCUCAGAACGUCGAGUCUGGUAGACCCCACCCUGGGUACUGUAGGGGAACAGAGCUGUCUCAGAACGUCGUGUCUGGUAGACCCCACCCUGGGUACCUGUAGGGGAACAGAGCUGUCUCAGAACGUCGAUGUCUGGUAGACCCCACCCUGGGUUCCUGUAGGGGAACAGAACAGACAUGGUAAAACAGAGCGACGGUUGGGAUUCAUGGCUUUGACCCUCAACCCUGGGUGACAAUGGGAAGAAGCUAUAUGGUAGUAGCUCCGCAUUGGCCAGCUCCUCUCUUAUGAUGUAAUAACUCCCAUCUGUCGUAGUUCCUGGUCCAAGUCUGCAUACAGCUGGGGGGUGAUGGUGCCGUUGUGGGUAGGGCUGGGGAGGGAGAGAGAGUUGUCUGACGUUUAAAAAACAUCUCUCUCCCCCCCCCCUCCCCCUCCCAUCCAUGUACCUACCCAUGUGUGAUCAAGAGACCAUUUUGUGACGGUGUCGAGAAAGAGCUGUACUGAAGCAGGUUAAUGGCCACGUGACAUCACAGGCCCCGCGUGGAAGGCCCGCCCACUUCUCCCAGGGUUCGGCUGGUGCACAGGCUGCAGCACGGUCUUCACUUUGGUCACCGAUAUGUAGGAUCUGAUACCCGCAAAUAAACACCACACCCACUGGAGCCAUGACCCCAUAGGUUCCAUAGACAGUAUGAAAUGUUGGAGCCAUAACCCCAUAGGUUCCAUAGACAGUAUGAAAUGUUGGAGCCAUGACCCCAUAGGUUCCAUAGACAGUAUGAAAUGUUGGAGCCAUAACCCCAUAGGUUCCAUAGACAGUAUGAAAUGUUGGAGCCAUAACCCCAUAGGUUCCAUAGACAGUAUGAAAUGUUUGAGCCAUAACCCCAUAGGUUCCAUAGACAGUAUGAAAUGUUGGAGCCAUACACCCAUAGGUUUCCAUAGACAGUAUAGAAUGUUUGAGCCAUGACCCCCAUAGGAUCCAUAGACAGUAUGAAACUGUUGGAGCCAUAACCCCAUAGGUUCCAUAGACGUAUGAAAUGUUUGAGCCAUAAACCCAUAGGUUCCAUAGACAGUAUGAAAUGUUUGAGCAAGUGCAGGCCCGGCAAAAAUAUGACAUCUAAUGACUUGACGCUCGUGGUCAGCAAGAGCAUUGUUAUUACAUUGUAAUUACCUGAUUGAAAAUGUCAUUACAAUGUGCGCCUGUUAGUGCGUUCGGGAUUAAGAUGGCCAUGAGAAAUACAAGAAAACGACACGAACGCGACCAAGACAACACAACGACACCCAACGACAUCACACCAACGACCAACGACCAACGCAAACCAACGAUCAACGAUCCACAAAGACCCACGACCCACGACCAACGACCAACCACCAUACAGAAUCAGACGAGGUCAGAUAACAAGAGGUUCAGAGUAAUGGCUGUUGUAGUAUCCCGCUAUAUCAUCUCGUAGAUAUUAUAUAUAAUAUUCUAUAACCCCAUAGGUCCAUAGGAUAUAUAUAUAUAUAUAUAUAUAUAUAUAUAUAUCAGACUUUAUAUAGUUCUAGUAUCUACCUCUAUAUCAUGGUAUCUAUAUAUAUAUUAGACUUUAUAUAGUUCUAGUAUCUACCUCUAUAUCAUGGUAUCUAUAUAUAUAUUAGACUUUAUAUAGUUCUAGUGUCUAUCUUUAUAUCUUGUAUCUCUAUACAGUUGAAGUUUACAUACACCUUAGCCAAAUACAUUUAAACUCAGUUGUUCACAAUUCCUGACAUUUAAUCCUUGUGAAAAUUCCCUUUCUUAGGUCAGUUAGGAUCACCACUUUAUUUUAAGAAUGUGAAAUGUCAGAAUAAUAAUAAAGAGAAUCAUUUCUUUCAUCACAUUCCCAGCGAGUCAGAAGUUCACAUACACUCAAUUAGUUAAUUAGUUAAUUACACUCAAUACACUCAACRUUUAAAUGGUUUAACUUGGGUCAAAUGUUUCGGGUAGCCUUCCACAAGCUUCCCACAAUAAGUUGGGUGAAUUUUGGCCCAUUCCUCCUGACAGAGUUGGUGUAACUGAGUCAGAUUUAUAGGCCUUCUCUAGGCGUUUCUCUUGAUUUUUUUGUUGUUAUUCUGUCUCUCACUGUUCAAAAAAACCUACCAUUAAAAUUAUAUAAAUGUGUGAGUGGACUCCAGAUUAGCUGACUCCUGACUCCAAUUAGCUUUCGGAGAAGUCAUUAGCCCAGGGGGUUCACAUACUUCAUCAGUCCAUGGUAAGACAAAUUGUCUAUAACACUUGUAUUUUCAUCAACCAAAUAUAUACUGUAUUUAUAUAGUAAUAUAUACUGUAUUUAUAUCGUAAUAUAUACUGUAUUUAUAUAGUAAUAUAUACUGUAUUUGGUCCUAGCAGGGCCCACCUGUCACGGGACUCCUCUUUGAUGUCUGACGGUUGCCAGGUGAUGAAGGGCGUUGCCAGGUGAUGAAGGGCGUUGCCAGGUGAUGAAGGGCGUUGCCAAGUGAUGAAGGGCGUUGCCAUGGCAAAGUUGACCACAUGCUGUCUGGUGCCAGAGCCCAGCUCUAAGGCAAACAGUUCCCUGUGAGACUGCUCCUCCAACACAUCACACAACACUCAACACAACUCCUUCUGGUUCCUGUCUGCUAGAGGAGAGAUUAGCAUGGUCUGGAGGGGGGAGAGAGAGAGAGACAGAUAGAGGGGGGGAGAGAGAGAGAGAGACAGAUAGAGGGGGGAAGAUAGAGAGAAAGUCUAUGCGUUAUAACCUAUCAACCACACAGUCCAAUCUGUGCUACACAAGCAAGAGAGGAAGGGAAAGAGAACCUACAACAAUUACAGACUAAUGUAUAUCAUGAUUAUAAAACUGUUGUUAUGGUGUAAAUAGUACUGUUUUACACUCACCUUUUCUUGAGCUGCUCUGAAGAGGCUAAGGACAUGACAUAUUGGCUGGGACUGGGAGGUGGCUGAUGGGUAAUAGCCUAUAGGGCAGAUGGGUCAUGUGAUUCUUGGUUAAGAGGAUUCUUAAAGCACUAGUGAACAACACUCCUCUUCCUGAAUGGGAGAUCUUUCUAGACAGAAGGACGUAACUUUGAGCACUCAGGGAGGGAGGGAGAGAGAGAAACCUAUGGCCUAUGACUUCUUAUGGCUGGGGGCAGUAUUGAGUAACUUGGAUGAAUAAGGUGCCCAGAGUAAACUGCCUGCUCCUCAGUCCCAGGUACUAAUACYUUUCUAAAACUGUUUGAAUGAUGUCUGUGAGAAUAACAUAACUCAUAUGGCAGGCAAAAACCUGAGAAAAAUUCCAACCAGGAAGUGAGAAAUCUGAGGUUGGUUGAUUUUCAACUCAUUCCCUAUUGAAGAUACAGUGGGAUAUUGGUCAUGUUGCAUUUCCRAAGGCUUCCACUAGAUGUCAGCUGUCUUUAGAAUCUUGUUUGAGGCUUCUACUGUAAAGGAGGGGCUCAUAAGGGCUCUUUGAGUCAGUGGUCUGGCAGAGUGCCAUGAGCUGGUCACACGCAUUCACAUGAGAGGUAGCUCACACUCCAUUGCUUUUCGACAGACAAAGGAAUUAUCC